rnacentral:misc_RNA from 1 species
GGCCAAUGCACCCAUCAUAAAAUUCUGUAACAAAUAGCCAAACCCAGAAUGCAGAAGGAGAUGAACAUUUCACUUUAGGGAGAUCUCGUUGGAACUUUCUUCUCAAGAGUACACUAUAGACACUGCCAUGCACAGUUAGUCCUACUAUACACAAUGAAAAUGAGAAGAAAAAUAAAUUAGAUCAUCAUAGUUCAGCUGGAUUCUAUGGUUCUGAGCUUGACUCCAACAACGCUUCUUUUGCUGGUAAACUCUGGCUGGCACAAGGAGGUGGUGGAGGAUCAACUGUCAAUGUGCCUUCCAGUACUUUCACUACCUCACCCAUUGAAGGUCUCAUUCGUUCAUCACUUUGAAGGCACCAAAAUGCAGUUCUCAACAUUCGCUCCAGCUCCUCUCUAUCAACCCCACCAUCGAUUCUGUUAUCCACAACCCUCUCUGGGCGACCCUGGAUCCAUUCCUUGUAUGCCAACUCACAAACCUCCCCGACCUGAAGACAACCGGUUACCAAUAUCAACAACAUUUUGCCAACAUCCUCCACAUCUUUCUCUCGAACACAUGAUGCCUCAGGGUGAACUAUCCCCAACCCAAAUUCACUCACCUUGGCCUCAUAAUUUUUAUCCAAGACUACAUUUUCACACUUCAAGGUUCCAUGGCUUACAAACUCCCUACAUCCUGUGUGUAAAUAACAAAUAGCUCUUGCCACACCCAAGCAUAUGUUAAGCCUCCUUCUCCAAGUUAAUCUCUUACUCAAUUCAUCAUCUUCCAUAUAAUUAUGCACAGAACCAUUUUUGACAUACUCAUAAACCAAAAUUUUUUUACCUAACUCACAACAAUAGCCAUUAAGCUUCACCAAGUUUCUGUGAUGUAUGCUUCCUAUUUUUGAAACAGCAGCUCGAAACUUCCU